GUUAUUAAUUGGCACUUAUUUUUUGUUACUUUUUUGUAUUGUUGCUCGGAUUGCUCAUUUUCUUUGUCAUUACAUGUGGAAAAGAUAUGAUAAGGUUGAAGAAGGAGU
rnacentral:ribozyme from 1 species